ACUUCCGGCCGGAAGUUGCUGACGGAGCUACUUCCGCCCAGGGGAGUGGGAAGUUUCAACAGAAAAUGAGAAAUAUCCCCCGACGAUUGGCUGAAAACAUGCAGCAACCACUAUUUUCUUCCUGCCCCUCGUUGAUGAGAGCAUUCGAAGUGACCUCAGCAGGGCAUCCAGGUAUGUCAAGCAUGGUGACAAAGUGUUCAGGUCAGACGGUCUGGGGAAAGGCUCCUGUGUUGUUGAGCCUGCCAAGUUGUGGGUGCAGCAUGGUACCAGGCAGCCCAACCCUGACCUAAAGUAAAUUCCCGGAAGAAGUCUUUCCUGGGUUUUGAAUUUGCAGUAACAGGUGUGAGCAUUCUAGCAGCAGUUUGAUGAUCAUGUAUGAUACUGCAAACAGGACCUACGUUUAAAGAAAAUGGUUGUAGUUAGUAUCAGAGAGCCCUUGCUUUUCAAAACUUCAUAAACAAUGUUACUGUCAUGUCUUUCAUUCAAUAAACAUUUGUUGA
ensembl:lncRNA SNHG20 small nucleolar RNA host gene 20